ACAGAACUUUCCAGAGAUGGAUUGGUGCCUUCGGGAACUGUGAGACAGGUGCUGCAUGGCUGUCGUCAGCUCGUGUUGUGAAAUGUUGGGUUAAGUCCCGCAACGAGCGCAACCCUUAUCCUUUGUUGCCAGCGAUUAGGUCGGGAACUCAAAGGAGACUGCCAGUGAUAAACUGGAGGAAGGUGGGGAUGACGUCAAGUCAUCAUGGCCCUUACGACCAGGGCUACACACGUGCUACAAUGGCGCAUACAAAGAGAAGCGACCUCGCGAGAGCAAGCGGACCUCAUAAAGUGCGUCGUAGUCCGGAUUGGAGUCUGCAACUCGACUCCAUGAAGUCGGAAUCGCUAGUAAUCGUGGAUCAGAAUGCCACGGUGAAUACGUUCCCGGGCCUUGUACACACCGCCCGUCACACCAUGGGAGUGGGUUGCAAAAGAAGUAGGUAGCUUAACCUUCGGGAGGGCGCUUACCACUUUGUGAUUCAUGACUGGGGUGAAGUCGUAACAAGGUAACCGUAGGGGAACCUGCGGUUGGA
rnacentral:rRNA from 1 species